GACGAACGCUGGCGGCGUGUUUAACACAUGCAAGUCGAACGGUGAAGCCCUUCGGGGUGGAUCAGUGGCGAACGGGUGAGUAACACGUGAGCAAUCUGCCCUUGACUCUGGGAUAACUUCGGGAAACCGGAGCUAAUACCGGAUAUGACAUACGGCCGCAUGGUCUGUGUGUGGAAAGAUUUAUUGGUCAGGGAUGAGCUCGCGGCCUAUCAGCUUGUUGGGGGGUAAUGGCCUACCAAGGCGACGACGGGUAGCCGGCCUGAGAGGGUGACCGGCCACACUGGGACUGAGACACGGCCCAGACUCCUACGGGAGGCAGCAGUGGGGAAUAUUGGACAAUGGGCGAAAGCCUGAUCCAGCAACGCCGCGUGAGGGAUGACGGCCU
rnacentral:rRNA from 1 species